GUUGUAGGUGGUUUCAUGGAUGCCAGCAGACUCCAUCCCUGGAAAAGAGACACAGGCCAUGGUCCUUAAGUGGAGAGUAAAACCCAGGCUAGACAUGGAAGACCAGACUUGAACAUCUGGAUGAUCUUGCAGUGGACUGAGGCUGGGAAGACAUAAUAAUCUAGGAACCACCUGUCUGAGAGACAAAAGGGUCUUGUUAUGCUCUAUGUCUUCCUGCCUGCCUUCUAAUGAGGAAGGCCUGCUGCAGCAUCCUGAGGUGUGGGCUACAACAGGUAUCACUGAUUUUUUAAUAGACUCACUACUCACUCCAUGUGGUUUAAAUAAGGGAUGAAGCCUUCCAAUUCCCUGCAAAGCUUCCACGCUGAGCCAAUGUUGCAACAACUCUUCAGAGCUCUCCCAGGUCUCCAUUUAACAGCUACGUUGCAUCUGCCCCAGCCCCCAAAGCUAAUGGGGCUGGAUUAUCAGGGAAACUUACUCUAUUUUUUAUCCUGUUGGAAAAGGCUCAUUUUUCCAAUCUUGCUAACAUUUUUUUUGGGUGGGGGUGGGGGUCUGGACUUUUGUUAAUUUCUGACGCAGGUGUUUUCAAAAAACCUCUAGGUGCCCUUUCAUCUUCUGCAGUGCUGUGAUGUAAUGAUAACGUUAACAAUAGCACUACCUGAUUAUUAAUUACUAGUGAUAUCUGAUAAUUAUUGAAUGCUUGCUUUUGCCAGGCAGUGGGCUAAGUGCUCUUUAUCUAUCUCCUGUAAUUCUCACAGCCAUCCUAGGACAUAAGUAAUAUUACAGUCUCCGCUUUAUACAUGAGGAGACUAGUUGGGAGGUUAAGUGACUUUCCCAAGAUCAAGAGAACUAAGACUGAAACCCAGGCUCACCCCUCUCAGAGCCUGCCUCUGUAAACAACUAUGCAAACCUGUCUCUCCAAGACAAUGUGAAUGUAGGAACAGACUCACUUUGAGUGCUCUUCUAUUUUUCUCUCCCCCAGCAUUCCCAAAUUCUCAGCCUUCAGCACACCCUUGCUACCCUUUCCGCUGUCUCCAAAGCACAGGCAUUAUUUAAUUCUUUCAUCAUACACCAUGAAUGCUUUGGGCUUAACUGCAACAUAGAUAGUGUUUUCUUAGGAAGAAAACCUUUUUCCUGGCCUCAUUAUGUCUUCUCGCCUUGAAAAUGUGGCACUUUCCCUUUUUCUGGUUUAGAAAUGCUUUUGGUCUUGGGGCAACCGUCACUUGUCUCCAUGUUCUGGAGGCUGGCUUGAUAUGGAAGAAGACAAUGACUCCCCUUCCCAGGAAAAGGGCGUUUGUUGCCUACCGAUGAAGGAUGGCUGGAACAGGGUCUCUGGGCAGCGGAAACGUUCAUUUCCGAUGGUGAUCACUUGCCCAUCAGGCAACUCGUAACUCUUCUCAAGGGAGGAUGAGGAUGCGGCAGUGGCCAUCUCAUUUUCAAAGUCCAGAGCUACAUAACACAGUUUCUCCUUGAUGUCCCGGACAAUCUCACGCUCAGCUGUCAACCAGAUACAAACAUUGUGGCAAACAUUAGGGUCUGCACAGGUGGCAAAGAUUCACCUGCCCUACUGCAGUCUCUCCCUCAAGACAUGUGCCAUCAAAAAAUGUUUAACCAGGAUAUCUUAUGCUGAAUCAGCUCCUCAGGGGCCUCACAAUUUUCAAAAAGUCUGAGAUCCUGUUGCCUGGGCCAGUGGAUAGCAGGUUAAACCUUUGGCACAUUUCUCACCCUCCAGGAAAGAGGUGGUGCUGUCUCAGGACCAGGCCUAGUCCAGAAGGUUUCAGCGGUGCAUACUGAACGAGAUACGGAAGAAGUGGGCAGGGAGAGACCUUUCAGACUUCUGCUCUCUGAAGUUCUAGGCUAUUAAUUAUAUCUGAGGCUCUAGGAACCUUUUAGAGGCAUCUUGGGAUUCUUUGUAGGGAGCAGAGGAGGAAUGCAAUUAUUCAACUUCAUAUUGCAAGUGGAGACUUUAACAUUGGCAGGGUUCAAGUCUCAAGCCUCAAAUUUGGAGCAUAAAAUAAGCCUCAGGCAUGUUCAGAAACCUAAAUGUUUGGACAAUACCAAAUUGCUAAGGGGAGGACAGGUAGCUGGAGCCACCAGCACUGAGGACAUACAAUGUUUCUGGCAAUGCUGAC
rnacentral:lncRNA from 1 species